rnacentral:lncRNA from 10 species
AUUCUAUUUCUGACAUUUUAGCCACUGCACCCUUGUUGAGAACCAUUGCUGGGGAGCUGGUGUGGUCAUUUGGAGGUAAGAAGACACUGGCUAUUUGUGUUGCUAGAGUUCUUCCACUGUUUUUUUUUUUUUUCCUCAUCUGUGUGGACCAAUGUUCCUUCGAUCUUUGAAGCUGCUAUCCUUUGGGUGAGUUCCUUUAUUUUUAUCUUCUUUGAUGCCUUUGGGGGUUUGAUUGUGAUAUAAAGGUGAGUUCAGUUGACUGGCUUUGAUUCUAGUUUGCUCAUGGGUCUUGAAGGAGCCUAUUUCAAUGACUUUCUUCAUGUGCAUGUUUCUUUGACAGGUGUUCUUGUCCCUGGGGCUUCCUCAGUCUGGAGUCACAGUUGGGAGACAGGCUGUAUUCUUGCUGGAUUAGACCUAAUCUGCUGUCUGAGUGCUUUCUGGGGAAACACUUGGUUUUACCUGUCCACAGAGUUCAGGCAGAAGUGGAACCACUGGGCUGGAAACUGUAGUGUGUGUGGCCCUUCUGGCUAUGAGAGGCAGGUGUAGGUGGAUGGUGUUGCCUGCCCUGCCAUCUGGGUGUCUCCACAGUAACAGCAGGUGGUGCCCCUUAGAAAAUUCAGGCAGAAGUGAGACUCCUGGGCUGGAAGCUCUAGCAAGUGAGGCUCACCUGGCGAGCAGUGGUGGAGGUUGGUGGGAUCACCUGCUCUGCUGUCCAGGUGCUUCCCAGGAUAACAGGAGUCUAAGCUUGAUGGGUGAUUUCAGAAAAAGUAGGAUCACUGGGUCCAAAGCUGGAGCAAGAAUUGUUUGCUUGGCUACCAGUGGUGGUGGGUGGUGUCACUUGCCCUGAUAUCUGAGUGCUUCCAGGGACAUGCAAUUGCUUUUAAAAUGAGGGUAAGAACAGAGAAAAUAUGCUGUAAUAAUAUAUAUAUAUAUUUUAAUAAUUGCCUUCAUACUUCCCUUUACUUCUUUGGUUUUUCAAAUGUAGAUUUGAAACUACAGCCUGAUGUCACUAGCUUUUAGCCUGAAGAACUUCCUUUAGCAUUUAUUUUAAGGCAGGCAAUCUCAUGACAUUCCUGUUGGUGUGUUUAAUGGCACACUGUGCUCUCUGAGGCUCUAUUCAUUUUUCCUUAUUUUUACCCACUGAUCUGAUUAUUUAUCCCUAUUGAUCUACCUUAAAGUUUGCUGAUUCUUUCUUCUGUCACCUCAAAUCUACUGUUGAGUUUAGUAAACUUUUUUGUCUUGGUUAUUGUAACUUUCCACUCCAUAAUUUCUAUGUAACUGUAUGUUG